CCUACGGGGGGCUGCAGUGGGGGAUAUUGCACAAUGGGGGGAACCCUGAUGCAGCGACGCCGCGUGGGUGAAGAAGCGCCUCGGCGUGUAAAGCUCUGUCAGCAGGGAAGAAAAUGACGGUACCUGAAGAGGAAGCCCCGGCUAACUACGUGCCAGCAGCCGCGGUAAUACGUAGGGGGCAAGCGUUAUCCGGAUUUACUGGGUGUUAAGGGGGCGCAGGCGGCGAUGCAAGCCAGGAGUGAAAGCCCGGGGCCCAACCCCGGGACUGCUCGUGGAACUGCGUGGCUGGAGUGCAGGAGGGGCAGGCGGAAUUCCUGGUGUAGCGGUGAAAUGCGUAGAUAUCAGGAGGAACACCGGUGGCGAAGGCGGCCUGCUGGACUGCAACUGACGUUGAGGCCCGAAAGCGUGGGGAGCAAACAGGAUUAGAUACCCUAGUAGUC
rnacentral:rRNA from 1 species